rnacentral:rRNA from 1 species
UACGUAGGGUGCGAGCGUUGUCCAGAAUUAUUGGGCGUAAAGAGCUCGUAGGCGGUGUGUCGCGUCGGCCGUGAAAACCUGGGGCUCAACUCUGGGCGUGCGGUCGAUACGGGCAUCACUUGAGUUCGGCAGGGGAGACUGGAAUUCCUGGUGUAGCGGUGAAAUGCGCAGAUAUCAGGAAGAACACCCGUGGCUAAGGCGGCUCUCUAGUACGGUACUGACGCUGAGACGCGAAAGCGUGGGGAGCAAACAGG